CAGGAACCUGCACCGAGGAAGAAAUGAAAACUGGGGAAGACUACAGAGGAGGGGAAAGACUUCAGAGGGAGAGGGCAAAGAGACAAAGAUGUUCUGGAGAGGGGGAAAACUAUCUGAUGAGGAGACAGAAGUCCCACCAAGAGGCUGCAAUUGUGGAAGUCUUCCUGGAUGCUGAUAGUACUUCUUUCAGUUCCGAUGGCCAGUCAGAUGAAUUCUCCAUGCUGUGAGGCAUAGGGUGGCGAAGUCUGGGUGAAGAAUCCUGCCGUUGUUGUGACAGGAGUGCUGGAUGGUAAGGCCUAAUUCUUCCAGAAGAGUUGAGUAGAUGGACACAGGGCAGUUAAGAUCCAGUCAUCUAGGAAAGGAAAAAUCUGGACAUCUCUUUCCUACAAGUGAUCUACCACCACAGCCAUACACUUUGUGUCUACUCUCAGAGCAGAAGAGAGGCCGAAAGGCAUUGCUUGGAAUUGGAAUGCAGGUGGUUGUAUUUGAAAACACAGGAAUUUUCUGUGCUGGGGUUGAAUGGUGAUGUGGUAAUACACUUCCUCUAAAUCUAUGUAAGCAAACCACAUUCUUCUUAAAAGGAGGAGUAGAAUCUCUGAUACUGUUAGCAUGUGGAAGCAUUUGUAGAUGAUGAAGGAAUUUAGGUCUCGGAGAUCCAAGAUUGGGCACAUCUGCCAUCUCUUUUGGAGAUUGUGAAUUAG